UAUUACUGAAGCAUACAUUAAGAUGUAAAGGCCUCCAAUUCAUAAAUUCCUCCCCCUAUUUUUCAGAACGCAUCAAAGCAUUUAUGAAGAACUGGAAUGUAACACUUGCACAUUUAGUUGUGGCUGGAGUACUGAAUUCAGUGGCUUUUGGAUAUUUGCUACCUCAUGAAAACAUAAUCCAGAUGGCUGUCCUUUUUGGCCUUUAUCCCAUUCACCUUUUCCUCCAAUUCACAGAUCACACUGAAUUUAUAUUCGGGAAUGCCUUUCUUCUCAUUUUGACUGCUAUUUCUGGCUUUCAGCAUCCGACUAAGCUGCCUGAUAAGCCCCAUAUCAUUCUGUAUAUGUUUGGAGCAGCAGGUUUACCUUCAGUAAACUCACUUGCACUGGCAACAUGUGUAUUGAAAACAAAGGAGGGAGAAGACGAUGUGAAGGAUGUGCUAAAGGAUGUGAAUGUGAUCAGCCUGAUUUCUGAAAGUAUCUUCCUCACUGGGUGGCUUGCUUUACUGAUUUAUGAAUACUGCUGUGGAUGUGGCUGAGGCUCAUGAGAUGGAGACUUUGUCUGGUUUCACAAAUCCCCCGGAGGUUAAUGUGGCUGAGUCAACCAAAGGAAUCUGAAAAAAAAAUAAACACAUGUUGGACAAAGGACCUGUAUUCA
rnacentral:lncRNA from 1 species